CGCGUAGGCGGCGCAUCAAGUCAGGCGUGAAAGCCCUGGGCUCAACCCGGGAAUUGCGCUUGAGACUGGUGUGCUUGAGUACGGGAGAGGAUAGUGGAAUUCCCAGUGUAGAGGUGAAAUUCGUAGAUAUUGGGAAGAACACCGGUGGCGAAGGCGGCUAUCUGGACCGUAACUGACGCUGAGGCGCGAAAGCGUGGGGAGCAAACAGGAUUAGAUACCCUGGUAGUCCACGCCGUAAACGAUGAGUGCUAGACGUUGGGGCCCUUAGGGCUUCGGUGUCGCCGCUAACGCAUUAAGCACUCCGCCUGGGGAGUACGGCCGCAAGGUUAAA
rnacentral:rRNA from 1 species